UACGUAGGGUGCGAGCGUUAAUCGGGAUUCUUGGGCGUAAAGGGCGCGUAGGCGGCUUUUCAAGGUACGGGUGAAAUCCCUCGGCUUAACCGAGGAACUGCCUGUCAGACUGGAAGGCUUGAGACCGGGAGAGGUGAGUGGAAUUCCCAGUGUAGCGGUGAAAUGCGUAGAUAUUGGGAGGAACACCAGUGGCGAAGGCGGCUCACUGGACCGGAACUGACGCUGAGGCGCGAAAGCGUGGGGAGCAAACAGG
rnacentral:rRNA from 1 species